GAUGAACGCUGGCGGCGUGCUUAACACAUGCAAGUCGAACGAUGAAGCCCAGCUUGCUGGGUGGAUUAGUGGCGAACGGGUGAGUAACACGUGAGUAACCUGCCCUUAACUCUGGGAUAAGCCUGGGAAACUGGGUCUAAUACCGGAUAGGAGCGUCCACCGCAUGGUGGGUGUUGGAAAGAUUUAUCGGUUUUGGAUGGACUCGCGGCCUAUCAGCUUGUUGGUGAGGUAAUGGCUCACCAAGGCGACGACGGGUAGCCGGCCUGAGAGGUGACCGGCCACACUGGGACUGAGACACGGCCCAGACUCCUACGGGAGGCAGCAGUGGGGAAUAUUGCACAAUGGGCGCAAGCCUGAUGCAGCGACGCCGCGUGAGGGAUGACGGCCUUCGGGUUGUAAACCUCUUUCAGUAGGGAAGAAGCGAAAGUGACGGUACCUGCAGAAGAAGCACCGGCUAACUACGUG
rnacentral:rRNA from 1 species